AACGUACCUUUCAGUGGGGGAUAACGCAGCGAAAGUUACGCUAAUACCGCAUAUUCUGUGAGCAGGAAAGCAGGGGAUCGCAAGACCUUGCGCUGAUUGAGCGGCCGAUAUCAGAUUAGCUAGUUGGUGAGGUAAAGGCUCACCAAGGCGACGAUCUGUAGCGGGUCUGAGAGGAUGAUCCGCCACACUGGAACUGAGACACGGUCCAGACUCCUACGGGAGGCAGCAGUGGGGAAUUUUGGACAAUGGGCGCAAGCCUGAUCCAGCCAUGCCGCGUGAGUGAAGAAGGCCUUCGGGUUGUAAAGCUCUUUCAGCCGGGAAGAAAACGCAUGGGUUAAUACCCUGUGUGGAUGACGGUACCGGAAUAAGAAGCACCGGCUAACUACGUGCCAGCAGCCGCGGUAAUACGUAGGGUGCGAGCGUUAAUCGGAAUUACUGGGCGUAAAGCGUGCGCAGGCGGUUUGUUAAGAUAGGCGUGAAAUCCCCGGGCUCAACCUGGGAACUGCGUUUAUGACUGGCAAGCUAGAGUAUGGCAGAGGGGGGUGGAAUUCCACGUGUAGCAGUGAAAUGCGUAGAGAUGUGGAGGAACACCGAUGGCGAAGGCAGCCCCCUGGGCCAAUACUGACGCUCAUGCACGAAAGCGUGGGUAGCAAACAGGAUUAGAUACCCUGGUAGUCCACGCCCUAAACGAUGUCAACUAGGUGUUGGGAGGGUAAAACCUUUUAGUACCGGAGCUAACGCGUGAAGUUGACCGACUGGGGAGUACGGCCGCAAGGUUAAAACUCAAAGGAAUUGACGGGGACCCGCACAAGCGGUGGAUGAUGUGGAUUAAUUCGAUGCAACGCGAAAAACCUUACCUACCCUUGACAUGUCCGGAAGCCCUUAGAGAUUUGGGUGUGCUCGAAAGAGAGCCGGAACACAGGUGCUGCAUGGCUGUCGUCAGCUCGUGUCGUGAGAUGUUGGGUUAAGUCCCGCAACGAGCGCAACCCUUGUCGUUAAUUGCCAUCAUUUAGUUGGGCACUUUAACGAGACUGCCGGUGACAAACCGGAGGAAGGUGGGGAUGACGUCAAGUCCUCAUGGCCCUUAUGGGUAGGGCUUCACACGUCAUACAAUGGUCGGUACAAAGGGUCGCCAACCCGCGAGGGGGAGCCAAUCCCAGAAAGCCGAUCGUAGUCCGGAUCGUAGGCUGCAACUCGCCUGCGUGAAGUCGGAAUCGCUAGUAAUCGUGGAUCAGCAUGUCACGGUGAAUACGUUCCCGGGUCUUGUACACACCGCCCGUCACACCAUGGGAGCGGGUUCCGCCAGAAGUAGGUAGCCUAACCGCAAGGAGGGCGCUUACCACGGCGGGGUUCGUGACUGGGGUGAAGUCGUAACAAGGUA
rnacentral:rRNA from 1 species